rnacentral:rRNA from 1 species
UUGGAGGGCAAGUCUGGUGCCAGCAGCCGCGGUAAUUCCAGCUCCAAUAGCGUAUAUUAAAGUUGUUGCAGUUAAAAAGCUCGUAGUUGAACCUCGGGAUCAAUGGAUCGGCCAUGCCAUCGGUAUGUACUGGUCUCAUUGGUUCUCACCUUCUAAGGAACCAUGAUGUCAUUCAUUUGAUGUUGUGGGGAAUUAGGACUGUUACCUUGAAAAAAUUAGAGUGUUUAAAGCAGGCUAACGCUUGAAUACAUUAGCAUGGAAUAAUGAAAUAGGACAUCGCAUUCUAUUUUGUUGGUUUCUAGGAUCGAUGUAAUGAUUAAUAGGGAUAGUUGGGGGCAUUAGUAUUCAAUUGUCAGAGGUGAAAUUCUUGGAUUUAUUGAAGACUAACUACUGCGAAAGCAUUUGCCAAGGAUGUUUUCAUUAAUCAAGAACGAAAGUUAGGGGAUCGAAGACGAUCAGAUACCGUCGUAGUCUUAACCAUAAACUAUGCCGACUAGGGAUCGGAUGAUGUUGAUUUUUUAAUGACUCAUUCGGCACCUUACGGGAAAC